GCCUUGGUAGCGCCGUGGUUAGCGCCUCAGGCAAGCAAUCCGGAUGUCGCGGGUUCGAAUCCCGGCCUCGGAUG